rnacentral:lncRNA from 1 species
UUGACUCUGCAUGACUGGUCUUCUUUGGCAUAGUUAAGAAGCUGCUCAUUUCUAGAAACAUUGAUUUUGAUGUAACAAAGCAAGAAUGGAGGACUACCUUGCUGUUGGUUUCUUUCUGUUUCUACAGAAACAGGAAAAAGCAAGAGCUACUGGGCAAGGUGUAGUACAAAGGUAUACAUGAAAGCUAAGAGUCAACAAGAAACUACGUUUUUCACUAGAAGGCCUUCUAAUGUGAAGUUACACCAACUGCUGACAUGCCUUCUCUUCCAAAUGCGUACCAAUGGGUUUAUUUCCUAUUCAAGUUGCAGCAAGCAUUAAAGAUUACCCGUGGAGCAUCCCAAGCGGGAAGCCAAGAAAAGGAUCUCUGAAGUUUUUGCUUUCAUGGAAGGUGACACAGUGAUCCAUAAAUCUUGAUCUCAUAUUUUUUGGGUCUAUUUUAUAUUUUUUCAUUGAAUUUAAUGAUUUUAACAAAAAUGGCUUCUGAUUGCUCAUUCAUCAGUGAGUCCAAAGGUAUUUUUUAUUCUGCUCCUUUCAUUAUUAGCAAGAAAGAAGACAGAGUUAGAGUCAAUUAUUGGCUAAAAUGUAGGUUGUAGAAAAAAUUACAUUUGUGUCUUUCAUCACAUUGAUUGCAAUGAAAAGUGAUAAUUUAUGAUAAAAUUACCAUACAAAUAAUUCAUGGGAUUUAGAGGAACACUGUAUCCUUAUUCUUGGCAGUUUUGCUGAGACAUUUUUUAAUAUGUUCAGAAAUUUAACAGGGCCAUAUUCUUGUCAACUAAUGUUACUCUUAUAAAACAAGAGAGAUUUCUGUUUCUGUCUAUAACACAGUAGCUGAUAUUGGACUAAGUAUCCCACUGAGAACAAUUAUAAAAGCUGGAUAUUAUACAUAAAACAGCUGCUCAGAAGCACUGGAGAACAACCAAGGCAGUCAGGACUGGGGAAAUUAAGAUUCCGGGGAGAAGGAAAAUGCACUGAAGUGAAACCAAUAUUCUCUGCUGCUUCUCCUCGGGACAUUUGCCCAUUUCCUGCAGGUUAGAGGAUGAACAGAGCAGUUGCACACAAAAAUGAAGUUCAGGGCUACUAAACCUACCAAACUGAAGGGGCCAAGAUGGGGAAAAGAGAGCUGCAGAACCCAACAUCUGUGCAUACUGUUCUCUCAAGGCAUUUGCUGACUCCUAAGCAAAACAUGCAGAAGGAAACACAGUGAAACCAAACAGCAAGCAGCUACUAAGCAACUAAAGACCUAAGUAAAGAAUGCUGGCAUCUCAUGGUUCUAGGAAGAUAUGAAAUGGAUUCAGGUUUUCAUCGAGUAAAAGCAGGUCAGGUGGAAUGCAUUAAGAGUCAAUGUGAAACUUGCCAACUUUUCUCUCUGCCAAGAAUGAAGCCCUGUUCCAGACAGCAGCUGCUCUAGAAGCCUGGGUCUGGGAGUGAGCAGUUUACCCAGACACCCUGUGAUAAUCAACUUGCUUCUGUGAGAUAGAAACUUUUGUGGCUUUAAGCUGCUGAGAUUUGCAGAAUACCAAACAAGAAAGGAAAGGAGGUGUUGAGAAAAUGGUGGAAGAAGUGAGAAGUAAGGAGAAAAAUUCAGCAGAGGGAAGAAUAGAAGUAAGUAGAAGAGGGCAAGAUAACAAAUUUAAUGCAUCCUCCAGCUCUAAGCUUAUAGAUACGAUACCUAUCCUGUCCAUUAAAUAUUAAAUUACUAAAGAAAAUGUUUAUUCAACUACAAUCAACUUCUUUAAAAAAUACGAGUAGGAUUUUUAUGGUACAAUUUCAGGUAUACAUGGUCCACAAGGAGAGAAUAUAUUUGCAUUCUCUAGUACCUUCCUUUUUUGCCUAAAAUAAAAUAUUAGACGAGGAAGAAGACAUAGACAGUUGAGUUGCUACAAUUUUGUUGUGGCUAUUAGCUCUCUAUUACAUUAUCCAAUUGGUUUAAAACAAUCCAAAGAUUGUUUGUGCAGUUAAGAAAUUCUAAUGUCUCUUAGACAUGAAAAAGAGAAAGUUGUUUUUCAAAAAUGAUUUUGUCUUAGAAUUUCCUUGGGCAUUUGCAGACAUUCUCUCCUAAACAAGUUUUCAGACUGCUGCUGCCACCUAGAGAACUAAUUUGAUAUUUCUCUACAGCCAAUAAAGAAAACAACAACCAGACAUUGUUUUUGUUAUUGCAAUGUGCUGUGUGUUGGAGAGAAAAGUAAUAAUCUAUUGUGUCACCCCUUGCAAGGUUCAUGGUUGAGACCUCUAUAACAAAAGACGGAUUAAUAAUAAAAAAUCAUGUAAACUUAUUUUACAUAACACAGGAGGGUUUGGAAAUGAAGACCUAAAGAAACAGGGGAAUAUGUGCAUUUUUAUGGAAAGUCUUGUAACAGAAGGAUUGAAGGACAAAAGAGUGUAAUCUAAUGGUAUUAAACUGAUGGGAACUUAUCAAAGCCUGUUUGUUCAGAUACUUCUCUGUGUUUCUGUGUCUUCAGAGAUAAAAAUGUUCCCUUUUUCCUGGUAUAGGGAGGGCACAUGUGGCUUGAGAAUCUUAUGACAUACUUCAAGGGAAGGUCAGCUAGGUUUUAUCCCACCCUUUGGGAAAGAAGUGAGAGGAGGUCAGAGAGACCUUCCUGCUUUUGCUGUUUUCUCAAAUGCCGAGGUGCCAUAUUUUGAGGCAGGUGUCCUAAACCUGGUCACAUGCAUUCUUAUCAUUUCACAUUAAGUAUUAACCUCCUCAUAUUUUUAUUGUAACAUUGUGUCCUAAAGUUAAAUCAUUUAUAUCUUAAUGUGUCUUAGUGUUAAAUCACUUAUUUGUUACCUGGGUCCUUUAUAUGAUGUAGAGAAUUGAAACCUGGCUUUCUGGGUAAAUUGCUGCAUAGAAUUUCUACAAAUGAAAAGUAGUCUUACUCAUUCCAUCUAACAGUAAAAGUAGCCCAUUCAAAUAAAUAAUAAAUAUUAAUAGUUAUUUGCAUGAUAAUAUUUUCAGAAUAAUGUAAUUCAAAUGCGUUAGUAUUUUCCAGUGUUUAUAUCUUCUUGGACUCACUUUACUGGUACUCAUGUGUCUUGCAAAGGAGGUAUUUAAUAGACUUCAUAUGUAACCCAAAGCAAAAUAUUAUUUGCAUUAAAGAUAUUCAAAAUCAAAUCUUAUAGGCAAUGAUAUCUAUCUAAAUUUGUCAGUCACAGUAAAUAAUAGUGAAUUUAUUUUUGAAUUGUUAGUGAAGUUAGCUACUAAUAUGGAAUAUCUUCUUGAGCUCCAUUUCUGUAGUUUAAAAAAAGGUGAUAUCUUUUUGUUAAUAAGCAUCCUCUUAUUGAGAGACUUCUGUUAUUCACAGAAUUCUAUGCCAAUCAACAGCUGGAUUAGUCAGGGUUCUCUAGAGGGACAGAGCUAAUAGGAUAUAUAUAUAUAUAUGUGUGUGUGUGUAUAUAUGUGUGUGUGUGUGUGUGU